GACGAACGCUGGCGGCGUGCCUAAUACAUGCAAGUUGAGCGCUGAAGGUUGGUACUUGUACCGACUGGAUGAGCAGCGAACGGGUGAGUAACGCGCGGGGAAUCUGCCUUUGAGCGGGGGACAACAUUUGGAAACGAAUGCUAAUACCGCAUAAAAACUUUAAACACAAGUUUUAAGUUUGAAAGAUGCAAUUGCAUCACUCAAAGAUGAUCCCGCGUUGUAUUAGCUAGUUGGUGAGGUAAAGGCUCACCAAGGCGAUGAUACAUAGCCGACCUGAGAGGGUGAUCGGCCACAUUGGGACUGAGACACGGCCCAAACUCCUACGGGAGGCAGCAGUAGGGAAUCUUCGGCAAUGGACGAAAGUCUGACCGAGCAACGCCGCGUGAGUGAAGAAGGUUUUCGGAUCGUAAAACUCUGUUGGUAGAGAAGAACGUUGGUGAGAGUGGAAAGCUCAUCAAGUGACGGUAACUACCCAGAAAGGGACGGCUAACUACGUG
rnacentral:rRNA from 1 species